rnacentral:rRNA from 1 species
CGCGUGGUUCUAUUUUGUUGGUUAUGGGACCGCCGUAAUGAUUAAUAGGGACAGUCGGGGGCAUCAGUAUUCAAUUGUCAGAGGUGAAAUUCUUGGAUUUAUUGAAGACUAACUACUGCGAAAGCAUUUGCCAAGGAUGUUUUCAUUAAUCAGGAACGAAAGUUAGGGGAUCGAAGACGAUCAGAUUCCGUCGUAGUCUUAACCAUAAACUAUGCCGACUAGGGAUCGGGCGAUGUUACUAUUUGACUCGCUCGGCACCUUACGAGAAAUCAAAGUGCUUGGGCUCCAGGGGGAGUAUAGUCGCAAGGCUGAAACUUAAAGAAAUUGACGGAAGGGCACCACCAGGAGUGGAGCCUGCGGCUUAAUUUGACUCAACACGGGGAAACUCACCAGGUCCAGACACACUUAGGAUUGACAAAUUGAUAGCUUUUUCUUGAUUGUGUGGGUGGUGGUGCAUGGCCGUUCUUAGUUGGUGGGGUGACUUGUCUGCUUAAUUGCGAUAACGAACGAGACCGCGACUGUUAACUAGCCCACGCCGCCUCGGCGGCGUGCCGGCUUCUUAGCAGGACUAUCGGCUCAAGCCGAUGGAGGUACGCGUCAAUAACAGGUCUGUGAUGCCCUUAGAUGUUCUGGGCCGCACGCACGUUACACUGACAGAGCCAGCGAGUUCUUCCUUGGCCGAAAGGCCCGGGUAAUCUUGUUAAACUCUGUCGUGC